AUUGGUUACUGUAUAUGUAUGUCACAAAUGGCAAUCCCACACGACGGCGUCACAAAUAUCUUGCUUUUUUUGUGUCGAGGAGCCUUGUUCACAAGAGGCAGGUUAGAUUUUGUGGAAGCUAGAGGAGCACCCCUGCAUACAUUCUAACCUGCGUUUUCAAGCAAAUCGGACUUCUAGUCCAUUAUAGCUGCGUAAUGUCGUCCGAAAAUCUAUCAGAUUCUCCGAUGGAAUAUGAGGAUGAAAAACAGGACUCUCAGGAAAAGAAUGCCAACCUUGUGAAGGGUGAAGAGGUCAAGCUGAAGGCCAAGUACCCCGGCCUGGGCCAAAAGCCUGGAGGCUCUGACUUCCUCAUGAAGAGGCUACAGAAAGGGGUAGGUGGAACCCUUCUCCUGGAGAGCCACAGAUAAUAUAUGCUUUUGAUUCCGCAUGUUAGUGAGGCUGGAACAAACACCUACACACCCUUGUUGACCACUUGACUAGGAAAUCGCAUAGGCUUUGAAUACACCUCUAAGACAUUUCAAUGCGUUCUGCAUUUAUGAGGAUCUGAGAUUACCUUGGUAUGUCUGUGGCAGUAGCGAUGUUUCAAUUAACUUGUCCAGAUACUUUUUUAUUUUUUUGUCAACAUUUUAGAAAGUUCACAAAGAAUAGAGAUUUAACUUUAAGUUUAAUUAUCUUGUGUCAAUAAAUACAGCUGGACGUAAUGACCUCGCACCUAAAAAAUUCUAUAUAUUUUUUUAGCAAAAACCUACAGUGUCGAAUAACAAUAAUGGUUGAAGUAUUUCAUUACCCAUUUAGGCAAAUUGUGCAGUAAUAAAUUGGCGACAGCCUCUAUGCCCUCCCACACAUCGGUUUCAUGUCUCGGGUAUAGCCAGUGAAAGUCAUGUAUAGAAUGCAAUAAUUUACUAAUAUUUCCAUAUUCUAAUAAUUCUCAUGUGCCAAUGUAUCGCCAUGGUGAAACUUGCACUCCUGUAGAGCUGAAAUAAUUGGAUAUGGAAACUUGCAUCCAGCCAACCAGAAAAGCAAGGCAAAGCAAUUUAGUCAUUCUUGGAAGUCAGGACAAUCCUUGUCCUGCAAAAAAAAUUUAUUUUAUUGUUGAAAAAAAUGAUUUAGAAUUAUUUAGAAUUAAAAUGUGUAGUGGAGCUUUAUAGUUACUUGUGACAUACUUUUUCUUGCCACUGUAUGUGAACCCUUUGGAAUUACCUGGAUAUCUACAUUAUUUGGUCAUCAAAUUUGAUCUGAUCUUCAUCUAAGUCACAACAAUAGGCAAACAGUGUGCUUAAACUAAUAACACACAAAUUAUUGUAUUUUUCUUUUAUAUAUUUAAUACAUAAUUUAAACAUUCACUUUUUCCAACCUACACUGUAUGUGAAUGCUAAAAGUUUCUCUAAACGCCUUGAUGUCCACGGUAAGGCAAAUUGUCUAUAAAUGGAGAAAGUUCAGCGCUGUUGCUACUCUCCCUAGGAGUGGCCGUCCUGCAAAGAUGACUGCAAGAGCACAGCGCAGAAUGCUCAAUGUGGGUUAAGAAUAAUCCUAGUGUCAGCUAAAGACUUAUAGAAAUCUCUGGAACAUGCUAACAUCUCUGUUGACGAGUCUAUGAU
ensembl:lncRNA